rnacentral:rRNA from 1 species
UACGUAGGGUGCAAGCGUUGUCCGGAAUUAUUGGGCGUAAAGAGCUUGUAGGCGGUUUGUCGCGUCUGCUGUGAAAUUUCGGGGCUCAACCCCCGAACUUGCAGUGGGUACGGGCAGACUAGAGUGUGGUAGGGGAGACUGGAAUUCCGGGUGUAGCGGUGGAAUGCGUAGAGAUCCGGAAGAACACCAGAGGCGAAGGCGGCUCGCUGGGCUUGGUCUGACGCUGAGGCGCGAAAGCGUGGGAG